rnacentral:misc_RNA from 1 species
GCAAACUUGGUCAUUUAGAGGAAGUAAAAGUCGUAACAAGGUUUCCGUAGGUGAACCUGCGGAAGGAUCAUUAAUGAAACUAUAUUCUCCUUUUGGUCAGGCUGAUGCGCUUUAUUGCUGCACGCCAUUUAUGAUCUUUGGGGGUUAUAUUUCCACAAACCCUUCUGUGCAUAUUGGGAGACUUGUCUCCCCACUUCAUAUACUCUAAUGUUCAAAUCAUGUCAUUACAAAAAGUUAAUUAAAACAACUUUCAACAACGGAUCUCUUGGCUCUCGCAUCGAUGAAGAACGCAGC